rnacentral:lncRNA from 1 species
CUCAAAAAUGUUAACAUUCCAAUUUUCAAUAACAGUUAACAGCAAAUACAUUAUCACAAUAACAGAUAACAAAAAAACUAAAAACCCAAUAACAGCUAACAAAGAAUAAGACAAUAACAGCUAACAGCAAAUAUAUUUUCAGAAUAACAGAUAACAAAGAAUUAAAAUGCCCCAUAACAGCAUAACAGCUAAACCCCUUGCCCCCCCUCUUU